rnacentral:rRNA from 2 species
UUUUAAUUGAAGGCUUGUAUGAAUGGUUGGACAAAGGAUAAGCUGUCUCUAUUUUUUGUUUUUGAAUUUAUCUUUUAAGUGAAAAGGCUUAAAUUAUUUUAAGGGACGAUAAGACCCUAUAAAUCUUUAUAUAAAACAUUUUUUUUUGGUUUUUGAUGUUUAUAAAAAUAAAUAUGUAUAAUAUUGUAUUGGGGCGAUAGGAAUAAUUGAAUAAACUGUUCUUAAAAAUAAACAAUUUUUGAAUUAUAAAAUUGUAGAUCCUUUUUAGAGAUUAAAAGUUCAAGUUACUUUAGGGAUAACAGCGUUAUUUUUUUUAAGAGUUCUAAUCGAAAAAAAAGUUUGCGACCUCGAUGUUGAAUUAAAAUUUCUUUAUGGUGCAGUCGUUAUAAGAGAGAGUCUGUUCGACUUUUAAAAUUUUACGUGAUCU